rnacentral:rRNA from 1 species
AGAGCGAACGCUUGGCGGCAGGCCUAACACAUGCAAGUCGAACGGACCCUUCGGGGUUAGUGGCGGACGGGUGAGUAACACGUGGGAACGUGCCUUUAGGGUCGGAAUAGCUCCUGGAAACGGGUGGUAAUGCCGAAUGUGCCCUUCGGGGGAAAGAUUUAUCGCCUUUAGAGCGGCCCGCGUCUGAUUAGCUAGUUGGUGAGGUAAUGGCUCACCAAGGCGACGAUCAGUAGCUGGUCUGAGAGGGAUGAUCAGCCACAUUGGGACUGAGACACGGCCAAACUCUACGGAGG